CGCGGAGAGGAGAGACCGGAGGGAGAUCGUCCAGGGGAGGGGGGCGGGAGGGGGGUGGGGGAUUCCGAGGAGCCCGCGGCCGGGAGUCUGGGAGGGCCCGAAAGGCGCCAGGCCCGCCGCGCCACGACUUGCCCAAACCAGACAGGCUUCCUUCUGCGCCCUGGAAGAAGGAGCCGGCCCGCCGCUUCCCGCUCGGCUGCUCCUCGGCCUCCGUGAGCCCCGCCUGCGCCCGCAGCGCUUCUGGGGUCUGGGUCCCCAGCGUCGCCCCCGUCCGCCUGCAGCGCCCGGCGCCCGCCAAGGAGCGCGCAGCUGGGGUGCUGAGGACAUAACGGUGAGCAAGAGAAAUCACAGCCCUUGUUCCCGCUGAUCCUGUGGCCCGGUGGAUGGAGCCCACAGCCCACAGACCUGCCAGGAAAGAAAAAAAAUUUCCUGAUGGUUGUUCCAAGCAGGGACUCCCCGGUGGAUUGAGGAAUGUGUGGCUUUUCCUCAGCUCAUUGAUCCCUGUGGUAGCCACGGGCAGCACCCAAAGGACCCCAAGAAUGAAAGGCCUGUGGCCUGCAAGUUGCUGCUAGAGAUAUUUUAGCCUCUCCAUAUAACAGAAUGCAGCUGCCACACAAGUUCUUAAGGUAAAACUUGAUGGUACAAAGCUGAUGGGUAAUGUUCCCUUCCAUAUAAUUUUUUUUUUUAACCUUAACAUUUUGAGAGUGUAUCCAUUUGGAAAGACAAGUGAAGUAUUACUAUCUGGGGAAAUUCCUUCAUUUGUACUUCUAUCAGUAUCUUAUAUUUAGGUAGGUAACUCAUAGAGGAAGAAAGACUCCAUUUUUAAAAAGGGUCUUGGGUAUAAGGAAUUGAGAAAAGGUGCCAUCAAAUAGAAUGAACUACUAAUUUAAUUUUUUAAACUAUUUCAUUGCGGUAUAAUAAACAAAUGCACCCUUCAUUGUCAAUGUCCAAUUCGAUAAGUUUUGAUAAAUGUGUGUACCAGGUAAUCAACAGACAGCACAACGAAAGUACAGAAUAUUCCUGUUACACCGCAAAGGUGUCUUUCUGCUCUU